rnacentral:rRNA from 1 species
UACGUAGGGUGCGAGCGUUGUCCGGAUUUAUUGGGCGUAAAGGGCUCGUAGGCGGCCUGUCGCGUCGGAAGUGAAAGCCCACUGCUUAACGGUGGGUCUGCUUCCGGUACGGGCUGGCUGGAGUAUGGCAGGGGAGACUGGAAUUCCUGGUGUAGCGGUGGAAUGCGCAGAUAUCAGGAGGAACACCGAUGGCGAAGGCAGAUCUCUGGGCCGUAACUGACGCUGAGGAGCAAAAGCGUGGGGAGCGAACAGGAUUAGAUACCCCCGUAGUCC